UUGAAGAGUUUGAUCAUGGCUCAGAUUGAACGCUGGCGGCAGGCCUAACACAUGCAAGUCGAACGGUAACAGGAAACAGCUUGCUGUUUCGCUGACGAGUGGCGGACGGGUGAGUAAUGUCUGGGAAACUGCCUGAUGGAGGGGGAUAACUACUGGAAACGGUAGCUAAUACCGCAUAACGUCGCAAGACCAAAGAGGGGGACCUUCGGGCCUCUUGCCAUCGGAUGUGCCCAGAUGGGAUUAGCUAGUAGGUGGGGUAACGGCUCACCUAGGCGACGAUCCCUAGCUGGUCUGAGAGGAUGACCAGCCACACUGGAACUGAGACACGGUCCAGACUCCUACGGGAGGCAGCAGUGGGGAAUAUUG
rnacentral:rRNA from 1 species